AUUAUCAAAACUAAUUCCCUGGUUGGUGUUUUUCCUGCACCCCUUCAAAUAGCCCCACCCAUUUUCUUUUCUUACUAAGGUAGUAGAACCGGUAAGUUUCUUUCUGUUUUCACUUGAUGGAAACCAUAAAGUCCAUCUGUGUGUGCUUAUAGACGAAGAUAAUGCAGUAACUGGUAAUAACUCUGCUGAUAGUGAGGACCCUAAAUCAGCGAUAUUGGAUUGAGGGGAUGGACGUGCCUUGCUUGUUUGGAUAACCUUGAAACACAGAGAUAUCGUUAGCAAGGUCAGGUUUUAGAAGGCCUUUGGAGCUUCUGUUAGGUCUGCAGGGAAUGAAAACUUCAUAGGUGGUAACUUUUAAAAAUGUGACAGACAGGUCUAGCAUCUAACAGUAAUGAAAGAAGAGAGAGAAGUGGGUUUGGUUUUUUUAAGACUUCUCAAAAUGCUCAUUGGGUGCUUGACUUGAUGUUUGUAGUGAUGUCACUAAUUAUAAUUGGUAAGGAAUGCUAUUUCUCAGGCACACUAAUAGAGGAUUAAUCUAGUCACCCUGCAGUUAUUUUCAUCCAACAUUGAAAAGAAAGAAUUUAUGAAGGGGCUCUUGCACUUCACUGCUGUAUGGAAAAAACAUGAACACGUUUGAUAUGUGAUCCCUCAGCUGCUUCAUACAUUGAAUUUCCAUUAGGCUCACAGAGAAUCUGGCUCUUUUGAAUGCUGUGUUCCAGAAGAAUAACUAGAUGUGUCUGCUGUAGGAUAUAGCAGAAACACUGAAGUGUGCUGCUAAACAUUUGGAGAUGAGCAUGCUUAUUGUGCUAUGAACUUUCAUAGGCAAGUGCCUACUUCAUCUGCUGCUUGUAAUUGGAUAGGGAAUCAGCAAAAUAUGCUAGAGCUUUGGUCUGAUUUCUUGAUCAAGUUGAUAAUAUCCGGCAAUAAUCAUAGAAUUGUAGAGUUGGAAGGGACCCCGGAGAUCAUCUAACCUUCUGCAAUGCUGCACUCUCAACUAAAAGAGAUCAUCAUCCAACCUCUGCUUAUAAACCCUCCAGUGAAAGAGGAUCCACCAUCUUCCAAAAUAGUUCAUUCAAGCAGCUCUUACUGUCAGAAAGUUCUUCCUGAAGUCUCCUUUCUUAUAAGUUUAUUUGGGUCCGAUCCUCCAGAGCAGGAGAAAACAAGCUUGCUCCAUCUUCCAUGUGACAGCCCUUUAGAGAUUUGAAAAUGGCUAUCAUAUCACCUCUCUGUCUUGUCUUAUCCAGGCUGAACAUACCCAACUCCCUCAACUGUUCCUCAUAAGGCUUGGUUUCCAGAUACCAAGCCUCUCCACACGUUCCAGCUUGUCAAUAUCCUCCUUAAAUUGUGGUGCCCAAAACAGUUGUGGUGUGGUCUGACCAAGGCAGAAUAGAGCAGUACAAUUACUUCCCAUAAUCUGGACACUAUCCUUUUGUUGAUGUUAAUAUCUGGGGAGAGAGGAGAAAACUGACGUUUCCUGUCUAUAUGCUCCUUUGUAGAGCAAUAUGGUAUCAUUCACCUUGCAUUCCUUAUAACUAAACUGUAGAAUUUGAUGCAUUCUGACCUACUGUAUUCCCUGAUUCUUCAGUAGAAAUACUUGUCAGCAAGAUACCUAUGUACAGGACGAGGAGAAAUGAAAUUGUGGGGUUUGUCUCUGAAAGACAAACAACUUUGUGUUCGUUCUUUCCAUAUAUUUUCACUCCAGCCAGUCAUUACAAGAACUUGGGAAACAAGAAAGAGGGUCUGAGCUUUCUUGUCCGCCUCCCGAGACCCAAUCUAUUUCCCUUUUGUGCCAUGUCCAUUAAGUCUGGAAAGCUGGGGAAAGAGACUGCCUUAUCAUUGAUAUUUGCAAAUGGCUCAGGAAGGCUUUUUGGCUGAAAUAAAACAGAGUAAUGAUUGGAACAAAAAUGCUUCAAAUAAGUAAUAAAACUAAGGUUGUCUUCAGAUUCAUCAUGUGAUUUCACUUAAACUUUUUUGGGCUGGAUGCCGACAAAGUUAAUUGCAGUUCCUCUUGAAAGCAGUCGGAUUUAAAUGAACUGCAGCAAAUUCAGUCUGGAUUGGACCCUAUGUAAACAUGCAUAAAUAAAUUAUCCUGAAACGUAUUGGAGGGGUGUGUGAUUUCGCGUUCUUCACAAUUUAGCAGUGUAGGGAGAUGGCAGUCUUGAAUUCCACAGAGAUUGCUUUCCUGCUGUGCAAUCCUACUGCCCCUGAGUGUUUGUUAUGGAGACAUUCAAGUCUCCAAGAAUAUUGAAUUUAUUGUAAUCCAGUUAUGCUGAAAUAUUUUAGGAAGUUUGAUUCUGCAAAAGCGGUUUGUUGGACUCUUAAGGAAAGGCUAGAAAUGUCAAUGGCUCUUGUCCAGCUCCCAUUUCCAUUAGGUGGAAUUAAGUUUAAUUUGGUCCUGUUUGACUAUUUUAUAUCCGAUAAAACGAUUGCUCGUCAGAUGUUAAACAAAGGGAGUCAUUUAUCACUGCAAUAGUUAGUUAUGUUCAAGUUCUGACCUAAGAAAGAUGGAUAUGUCAUUUUAUUAUGCAAACUCGUAACCAUAUCUCCAGAACUAGAAAUCUAAUUAUCAGCCAUUGAGCCUUGAAUUUUAGCUAAUCUCAGGCUGAUGUCUCUGAGUAUGCUCACAUGGCUCUAAUUAGAGGGCCAGCCCACUCAGGCCAAGCGUUUCUGCCUGAGCUGAUUCCCACCAGCUUCCACAGUUGACAUGGAUGACUGCAAGACCAGCAUGGGCUCUGCAGGUUGCAUUGUUGGUGUCUCACUUCGAACAAGGGAGCCCUAAGGCUUCCUUUUUCGGCACUUAAAACCCUUUCGGUUAAUAUACAGUACAGGAUAGAGGGAGCUUAACAUAUAUUGCAAUAGUUGUUUUUUUGUUUAAAAAAUACAUUUUAUUGCAUUGUUUCUGAUCCUUAAAUACUGCAUGCACGCGUGUGUGUGUGUGUGUGUUUGAGAGAUCUAGUUGAAUCUCAUUUUGCUGCAAUAAAAGUAUUCUGUGAUGUUUACAGAGAUCAAUAAUUGUUUCCAUUUCACAUUACCGGGAUUUGAAUGGCUCCACCCUCAUGCAAAACAGUGAGUAUUAGGGUUGCCACUGAAUCACGUCAUAUAUUUAAAUGUGUCUUGUGACGUGCUAUGCUCCCUCUGUUCAGAAGUUAAAUUCUUCUUAUUCUGAAAAUCUUUAUCGCUGAACAAAUAGCUUCAUUAUUACACAAACCCAGAAGUGACCGAAAAUGUUACAAAAUGUGUCAUCACAAGGGUAUAACGGGACAGGGGAACUAAUAUGCGCACUGCCAACAUGUCUGGGGGCCGGGAAUGGAACCCCCGUGUGAAAUGGCCAUCGACUGUAAGCGCUCAGAACAUGAUUUAUUAUGGACUGGGUCACAGUGUCACAACCUGGAAAUUUCUCUUGCACCUCUUUUUCCAGUUCUGAAGUCCCCCACCUGCCUGAUUCAUAGAAUCACAGAAUCGUAGAGUUGGAAGGGACCCUGAGGGGCCAGCUAGUCCAGCCCUCUGCAAUGCAGGAAUCUCAACGACAUAGAUCAUCCAUGACAGCUGGCCAUCCAAUCUCUGCUUAAAUAUCACCGAUGAGGGCAAGUCCACCACCUUCCAAGGGCAUCCGUUCCACUGCCAGAACAGCUCUUAGCCUCACAAAGUUCUUCCUGAUGUUUGGUUGGAAUCUCCUUUCUUGUAACUUGAAUCCAUUGGUUUGCAUCCUGUGGGCCGACAAAAGAUUUCUGCUUGCUUCAGUAGGUGGGAGCAGAGGGAGGUCUAUGCAGUCAUACCUCAUGUUACGUCCGCUUCAUGUUACGUUCUUUCAGGAUAUGUCCCGCGGUGACCCGGAAGUACUGGAAAGGGUUACUUCCGGGUUUCACCGCAUGUGCAGAAAUGGUGAAUCACAAUCCACGCAUGUGCAGAUGUGCCGCUGCGGGUUGCGUUCUUUUCAUGUUGCGAACGGGCCUCCAGAACGGAUCCCGUUCACAACCAAAGGUACCACUGUAAUGUGAAUACUUGUGAGCAUUCCUUUGUGUAUAAAAGCUUUGAUUAGAAGUUUUGGAAAAGUUCAUUUUCUACAGAUCACGACUCUCAUACCACGAGUUUGUCAAAUGUUGUUAAGAGCCUGAUGUUAAGAGUUAAGUUAUCUAGCAGUCUUUGCUUCACAACUUACGUCAGGCACCCCCAAACUCAGCCUCCAGCUGUUUUAGGACUACAACUCCCAUGAUCCCUAGCUAACAGGACCAGUGGUCAGGGAUGAUGGGAAUUGUAAUCCCAAAACAGCUGGAGGGCCGAGUUUGGGGAUGCCUGAUUUACGUGUUCUGUGCUUGUAUGAAGUAUGCCUGCCUACUAGCAAAGUUUCUUGGAUUGUUGUAGAUUAGCAACAAAAGUCUGCUUGGUUCACAACAUCUACUGGGAGCUGAAGCAUUAAGCCUCCUCCUCCUCCUUGCCUUCAAGCUCAGAUGCUUUUUAUUAGUCUAUAUAGUCACUUUUGCCAAUAAAGAAUAAUCUUGGGACCGAUGGUCUGGCUCUGUUGCGUGAAACGUUUAAGAAAAACAGGCUCAGUUUCAGCAUUCCUGUGGUAGCAGAACAAUGCAUUCUGAAAUUUAGAUAUAAGAAAUACACAUUCUAGGACACGCUUAUACAGCAAGUCAUAUCAGUGCAUGCGGUAUUCUCAGUGAAUACAUAUUCUUCGCAUCACAUUUAAUGAGGCGGUCCUACAAAAUUUAUUCCCAUACUUGCCUAAAGUUGUUCAUACUGGGUUUGUUGUAAAACUCAUUGCUCUGGUUACAGGCAGUGGUUUUAGCGUGCUUCGUUCAGAUUUACUUACUGCACCCAGUAGGUGUCUUGAGUAAAACCAUAAAGCAAGGGCUUUUCAGUGGGGUAUUUUGAUGGAAAUGUAACUCUGCACACAGCAACCUAUCUGUAUAAGCAGCACUUGAAUUUAAUCGUAUGUUUUGCCUUUUAAAAUACAGCAAGACAGAAACUCCUUACCCUCAUCCUAGACUGAUUAUACUAAGCCUUCAGGAUGAGUCAUAGAAUUGAAGAGUUGGAAGGGACCAAAAGGGUCAUCUAGUCCAACCCCCUGCAAUGCAGGAAACUCAACUAAAGCAUCCAUGACAGAUGGCCAUCCAGUGUCUGCUUAAAAACCUCUGAGGGAGUCUGUUUCACUGUAGAACAGCUCUUACCGUCUUGAUGUUUAGUGGGAAUCUCCUUUCUUGUAACUUGAAUCCAUUCGUUCAGGUCCUAGCUUCUGGAGCAGGAGAAAACAAGCUUGCUCCAUCUUCCAUGUGACAGUGCUUUAGAUAUUUGAAGGUGGCUAUCCUAUCUCCUCUCAUUCACCUCUUAUCCAGGCUAAACAUACCCAAUUCCCUCAACUGUUCCUCAUAAGGCUUGGUUUCCAGACUCUUGAUCACCCUCCUCUGCACAUGUUCCAGCUUGUCAAUAUCCUUCUUAAAUUGUGGUGCCCAGAACUGGACAUGGUACUUCAGGUGUGGUCUGACUAAGGCAGAAUAGAGGGGUACUAUUACUUCCAAAGUUGUACUAUUUCAGGGAACCCAGCAUCACUUGUAUUUCCUACCCGUGCUUCUGCUUAAACUUUUCUAUCUCAUAUUCAACACAUCUUGUUUCUCUUUGCACAUUGGGUCUUCUAACUCUAGUAACCAAAGGUAAUUGAUUAUCUUCCUUAUGUUUCAUUCAUUUAUUGUAGUAAGUCCUCUGUACAGAGGUCCUUCUACUUCUUACUUUUGUGUGGUACAGUGCUGUGUUAUAUGAAAUAUAUCAAAAUAGUUAGAACAGUAAGUGAGUGUAGAUGGGGAAUCUGUGACCCUCCAGAUUUUGUUGGAUUCUGUCUUCCAAUCGGCUUCUGUCUGUAUGCCCAACAGUAAAUGGGUGGUGGGAGGUGGGAGACCAACAUCUGGAGUGCUACAGGUUCCACAUCCUUAUGGUACAGUAUGAGGAAUUAGUUCCACUGACCAGCCUUUUCUGAUUGUUUCUUAAAUACUUAAAGGUAGCUAGAUUUAUAGUUUGAAAAUCCUGAAGCAAACCUUGAUCAAAGGCAUAAUGGGAAGAUUGGGGUUGGUUUGCCUCAAAUACCUUAAUUUUGUCUUAAUUUACUUUUUCAUUUGGGAGCUAACAAGCCCUAAUAUGCUCCUUGCGAACUACUUUUGCUUCCCAUUCCUGCUUAAGAGUUUACAUCUGUUUUCUUACUAGAUUUUGCAAGUCAUCCUCCCCUGACCUGCUACCUCCGCAACAUUUAAAAGAUUGUUUUAGAAAAUGAUGGCAGGCCUGCAUUCUCAGCAUAAUGCCUGAAUUUAUUUAUUUAUUUUUUAAUCCAUUAUUGAUCUUCACUUAGUGAAUCUAUUGUGAGUAGGUUUUAAAUGUGACUGUCAAGGUGCACACAGACAAUCACAGUAUAGCAAAGGGAGAGUUUCCCUUUGGGUACAGAAGUGAAACAAAACUCUAAAGUGCAUGUAAAACCCAAACCUUAAAAUUUCUCUGGCCCAGAAACUGGAAAGCAGUUCAGUCUUAAAACUGCCCGACGGCCUUCCUACUUCUAAGUUUUAAAUAAGAAUGUGGAAAGUCAUUUCCAAAUAGCCUCUCUUAGGUUGGCGUGUAAAAUCCAUGCGAUCUUGUCCAGUUGUGUAAUAUAUUACGGUUACUGUUCUUUACAUUGUCUGUCUGUGGAGAACUGGCUAGAGCUUAAGGUUUAAGGUGGGCGGACAUUAUAAAACGUAAUGAAAAGUGGUUAGACAAGCAUUAGCUGCAUUGCCCUUUUAAGUAUAAGAUUGGUUGAAAUAAAGAAUUCCUGUGUGUGUAGGGGUUUUCAAACCCCUUCCAAGACAUCUCUCUGUCUUCCCAACCAUGAUUAGGUUGCUGGGUUUUUAUAAAGACUACAUUUCCAGUCAGCUUUUAGGACCUGAGUGCAUGGGGACUGUCUGCAGUGAGAUGCCACCUGUUGUUUGAGGAUCCUGCCUCCAUCAUGCAUGGGCUGUGAUAAGCCUGCAUCAAUGUGUUUUUCUCUGUUACUCUACAGUGGUACCUCGGGUUAAGUACUUAAUUCAUUCCGGAGGUCCAUACUUAACCUAAAACUGUUCUUAACCUGAAGCAGCACUUUAGCUAAUGGGGCCUCCUGCUGCUGCCACGCCGCCAGAGCACGAUUUCUGUUCUCAUCCUGAAGCAAAGUUCUUAACCUGAAGCACUAUUUCUGGGUUAGCGGAGUCUGUAACCUGAAGCGUAUGUAACCUGAAGUGUAUGUAACCCAAGGUAUCACUGUACUUUCAAACAAGCUUGGAAGCUUUGGAGUUGUAGUUUAGCAUAUCAUUCAUUCCGUUGUCUUUUCUCUUAACAAAAAUAAAAUGUUGGUGAUUUAACUUUAAUGUAAGUGCUGAUCUACGUAUUUUCAUUGAUACUGUCCAACGGUUCACAUAGCUAAAACUCAACAGUGCCAGAGUAGCUAAAUAAAGUAACAUUUUGCCCUGAUUCUUCACAGCAAGAAUAUUUAGGUAGGUAAAACUGUCAUGGGUCACGGUCUCUCAUUUUCAGACUGAAAACUCUGGGGAAUCAUGCAAACAGAUUAAAAAUUUUCAUCACACAACUACUCAAAGCCCUUUUUAUGUGGUUUGAUUUACGUUAACUGUUCUCUCUGAGGCGGGGGAGGGGCGUGGUGGAGACGGUGACUUGGAGUUGUCUGUGCUCAAAAACCCUUCUACCAUUUCAGGUAUUUGCAAGUUGUACCUUGAAGUUUGUCAGCUAAAGUCCUGGUUUCAGUAUUCACCUCUGCUAAUGGGAAUUAAGGCCAAAUUGUGACCACAUGCUCAAUUUUUAUUACUGAAGUCAGAAUCGGGAAACAUGCUGGAGGAAAUUGGAUCAGAGCUGUGCAGUGAAAUUCUUCCAGCUUUCUGAUGAUCGGGUUCCAAGGAAAGAUAAUUCAAGUUUCAUAAACUCAGGCCAGCUGUAUUUCUUUAAAACAGCAUAAUAUUUUCCUUCAGAAAAAGGGCAGUCUUCUUAACGUGGUGAAGAAUAAGUUCUUGCAUAUUGUUUUUUGAACAGCUGUUCUUUAUCUUCCCAUUUCUUAGUUUGAGAAAUCACUGGGGUAAAGCCUUCAAUCAACUGACUUUACACUGUAAAGUUUUUUCUGAAAUUGCUAUUGUGCUAUGCAAUGCUCUUCUUUAACCAUGGAUAUUCAAGCCCUACAAGACAUUAUGAGGGAGGGGAGAGAAGAAAAGGAGAUUCCUCCUGUUCCUUCUAGUAUCAAAAUGUCUGUCCCCCGUCCCGGUCCCCGCAAACUGGUAAUAUGUUAUGCUUGGAACUGCUGCCCAGAACAUUGUGUGAUGCCAACUCUCUCACAUCAUUCAGAUAUCUACCAUAAAUAUAAUAAAAUCAUUAUUUAUAGUAAAUGCAGCUUCUCAAACACACCUCAGCCACGGUACUUGCAUGCUCAGGUGCCCCCAGUGCUUUUUUUCCUAAAAAAAUGUUUAGGGGUACUCUCAUUUUCCUACUCAUAUUGGAAUACUGCCGCUUAAUGAGGCCAAACUUAGAUUCACAAAAUGUUUAUGGGUAUGCAUCCCCCCAGGAAAAAAAAGCACCAGGUGCCCCAUAACUCCAAGCCAUAGUAGCAGCUUAUCUUGCAGUCUGGGAAAUGGGGCAGUAUGGCAUUCUCUAAGUGGGGGAGUCUAAGGUGAUUUGAUGGAUUUGGGAAUAGACACUGGCUGAUAAUGCUCAGGUGACCUUUGCUUCCUCCAGACCAUUGUAGGAGUACGAAGCAGUUGUUCAUUUUCUUCAAGUCUCUGGUAACCUCCUGCAUAUUAGCAGUCAACAAGCUAUUCCACAUCUCACAUUUAGCUCCCUAUCUGGAAACGUGUCUGCAUGGCAGAGCCUUCACAAAUCUGAAAACUGCUUGCCGUGCGGAUGGCCCUAGCCAUGUAUAGGCCCAGUUCUGACAUAACACUAAAGCCAGGCUUCCUCAAACUCAGCCCUCCAGAUGUUUUGAGACACCCUGGCCACUGGUCCUGCUAGCUAGGGAUCAUAGGAGUUGUAGGCCAAAAAAUCUGGAGGGCCUAGUUUGAGAAAGCCUUCACUAAGCCAAGCGUUGGUAUGAACCAAGUAAGCGUGGGGGUUCCUAGAGUGAAAAUUGUGACUGUGAAGUUGGGUGUGAGGGAAUAUAAAUUUAUUUAGUAUGGAAAAGCAAGAAGCAGGGAAACUGAGGAUGGGUGUGGCCAGAUAAGGGGUGAGAGGUGUGAGUAAACUUUGUUGUUGGCCUUUCUGUAACUCACCAUCCUUUAGUCAACUUUGCCAGUUGUGAUGGUGCUACUUGUGGACAGUAGUGGACAUUCAAGAAUUCUGAAUGUUGGUUGGGAGGUCUGGAUUUUUCAAAAAAAACCUCGAUCUCAUCUCCUUUUAUUGACUCUGCAAACAGCUGUGUGUACAUGUGUCAGGCACUAAUAACAUCCUGUGCAUUUUGCAUAACAUUAUGGCUUCCGUGUACAUCUGCGUCCUCGAAAUUGAACAGGAUAGUCAGCAGACUUUGCAUUUUACAGUAACUGCUAGAUGCUUGCAUAUUGGCUAAACAUUUGUGUUGCCUGUGUACUUCAGUGCUACAUCUCUAAACUGAGAGGCCCUUGAGCCCAAGUCUGCCUAGGGGGGGGUCACAGCACUUGACUCAAUUCUGCUCUGAUCACAGUUGUAUGGUUUGUUGUUGCUCAGUGGUGUUGGAAAUGCGCUUUGCGCAUGUUCAGAGGCACACACAACCAUUCUGUUAUUUUGCAUAUUCGUGGAAUUCAAAGUAGGUUCUGGGGCUGAGUCGUGGCAAACCUUGGGAGUUCUAUACAGUGUACCAUGCUGUUAUAGUAUAAAUGUAUACAACUAGUACAGAAUGAAAAAGGCAGUGAGGUUGGGUCCAAACUUAGUACAGACCAAGGGUUCCCAAACUGUGGUCAGGCUCACCAGUAGUUCAUGAACUUCAUUCAGGUGGUCCACAAUGUAUCUGUGAAGAACCCAUUGU
rnacentral:lncRNA from 1 species